rnacentral:rRNA from 1 species
UACAGAGGUGGCAAGCGUUGUUCGGAAUUACUGGGCGUAAAGCGUGCGCAGGCGGUUAUGCAAGACAGAUGUGAAAUCCCCGGGCUCAACCUGGGAACUGCAUUUGUGACUGCAUGGCUAGAGUACGGUAGAGGGGGAUGGAAUUCCGCGUGUAGCAGUGAAAUGCGUAGAUAUGCGGAGGAACACCGAUGGCGAAGGCAAUCCCCUGGGCCUGCACUGACGCUCAUGCACGAAAGCGUGGGGAGCAAACAGG